GCUAGUCCAACGUGUGCUUUCAAAGGAUGUGUUCCCCACUUAGCCAAUGAAGCCAUCAUUAAAAGUUCUUCACACGCUCUAAAGAUCUGAAAUUGCCUCCCUGGUAGCAGGAGAGUUUGGAAUUAGAAGUGGAACAGCAAAAUUCUGCAGAGGAAGGUGCUGCCUGAGGCUGAGG